AGAGAGAGACAUGCGCGCAUAUCAAUAAGCGGAGGAAAAGAAACUAACAAGGAUUCCCCUAGUAACGGCGAGUGAAGCGGGAAGAGCUCAAAUUUGAAAUCUUAAAGGGUUUCCCUUUACGAAUUGUAGUUUAAAGAAGUGUUUUCUGUUGAGGUUUUGGUAAAAGUUCUUUGGAAUAGGACAUCAUAGAGGGUGAGAAUCCCGUAUUUGACCUUUACUUUCAACUUUGUGAUACACUUUCAAAGAGUCGGAUUGUUUGGGAAUGCAGUCCAAAAUGGGUGGUAAAUUUCAUCUAAAGCUAAAUAUUGGCGAGAGACCGAUAGCGAACAAGUACCGUGAGGGAAAGAUGAAAAGAACUUUGAAAAGAGAGUUAAACAGUACGUGAAAUUGUCAAAAGGGAAGCGUUUGACACCAGUGUUGUUUUUCUGAAAAUCAAUUAAAGAACUGUUUAUGCUAAGUUGUUUAGACCUUAUCAGCUAACUGUUUAGUUUUGAGCUUUUCUUUAAUGCACUUUUCAGUUAACAAGUCAACAUCAAUUUCUUUUGCUGUAAAAAAGCUUGAGGAAGGUGGCUUGAGAUUCGUCUUAAGUGUUUAUAGCCUCUUGCCUAUGCAGUCGGAGAGAUUGAGGUCUGCAGCGUAGAUCCUUCGGGGCUAAAUGCAUUUGUGCUAAGUUAUAGCAUUUUAUAGACAACUUGUUGACUAUGAUUUGUCUUGUAGCUUACUCGCUUAUGUUAUUUUACCUACGCUUAGGAUGUUGAGCGCAUGUCUCUCUCU
rnacentral:rRNA from 1 species